AUAGGCAACUGGAAUAAGACCACAUUGGCUCAUUCAUAAUUUGAAGUUCGAAACUUGAGAGAAGACAACAUUGCCACAUGCUCUAAACUACUACAAACUGGAAUGGAAUUGCCACCACAUUACGUUACAUAAAAACAUUCCAUACUACACACUAAUACAACAAUUCAAGUUUCACAUUCCAAGUCCUUCUCAUCUGCCGAAACUCGUGUCCUCUUGCGCAUCUUUAUGUUCAGGGAAAUCUCCAAGUCCUUCUCAUCCGUUAACUUAGCCAGUGAUUUCAACAUGUGCGAUAAAUCAUCCACAUGCUCAACUUCAUUUGUAACACUUGACUCCCCAUCGUCAUGCAAUGUACAUUUUUCAUCGGGCUUAUUCUUACACCAUUUGAACAACUUGCAAUCGCGGGUACAACAAUGAAACAAUAGCCCUUUAUUUUCAUUGUUCUUUUCGACCUCCAUCCAUUUGACGAAUCCUACACCGCAGUUGGGGCAUCUUCUCUUUUUCGGGCAUUUCGACAUCAUAUGUCCCGGCAUUCUACAAGAAUGACAAAUUCCCCUAUUCUUUCCCGCCAUCCAAGUAUCCUGGUUCAGUCACAAUAAAGAACCAAUGAAUGGUGCAACAAAUUCAAUGUCUAAUUCAAAUUACAGGAGAAUUCUACAUUACACUUCAACU
rnacentral:lncRNA from 1 species